AGAGUUUGAUCCUGGCUCAGGAUGAACGCUAGCUACAGGCUUAACACAUGCAAGUCGAGGGGAAACGAUAGAGAAAGCUUGCUUUUUCUAGGCGUCGACCGGCGCACGGGUGAGUAACGCGUAUCCAACCUGCCCACCACUUGGGGAUAACCUUGCGAAAGUAAGACUAAUACCCAAUGACGUCUCUAGAAGACAUCUGAAAGGGAUUAAAGAUUUAUCGGUGAUGGAUGGGGAUGCGUCUGAUUAGCUUGUUGGCGGGGUAACGGCCCACCAAGGCAACGAUCAGUAGGGGUUCUGAGAGGAAGGUCCCCCACAUUGGAACUGAGACACGGUCCAAACUCCUACGGGAGGCAGCAGUGAGGAAUAUUGGUCAAUGGGCGAGAGCCUGAACCAGCCAAGUAGCGUGCAGGAUGACGGCCCUAUGGGUUGUAAACUGCUUUUAUAAGGGAAUAAAGUGAGCCUCGUGAGGCUUUUUGCAUGUACCUUAUGAAUAAGGACCGGCUAAUUCCGUGCCAGCAGCCGCGGUAAUACGGAAGGUCCGGGCGUUAUCCGGAUUUAUUGGGUUUAAAGGGAGCGUAGGCCGGAGAUUAAGCGUGUUGUGAAAUGUAGAUGCUCAACAUCUGCACUGCAGCGCGAACUGGUUUCCUUGAGUACGCACAAAGUGGGCGGAAUUCGUGGUGUAGCGGUGAAAUGCUUAGAUAUCACGAAGAACUCCGAUUGCGAAGGCAGCUCACUGGAGCGCAACUGACGCUGAAGCUCGAAAGUGCGGGUAUCGAACAGGAUUAGAUACCCUGGUAGUCCGCACGGUAAACGAUGGAUGCCCGCUGUUGGUCUGAAUAGGUCAGCGGCCAAGCGAAAGCAUUAAGCAUCCCACCUGGGGAGUACGCCGGCAACGGUGAAACUCAAAGGAAUUGACGGGGGCCCGCACAAGCGGAGGAACAUGUGGUUUAA
rnacentral:rRNA from 1 species